GUUUACAGCCAUACUACCCUGAACAAGCCCGAUCCUGUCUGAUCUCAGGAGCUAAGCAGGGUCGGGCCUGGUUAGUACUUGGAUGGGAGACAACCUAGGAAGACCAGGUGCUGUAGGUG
rnacentral:rRNA from 1 species